UACGUAGGGGGCAAGCGUUGUCCGGAAUCAUUGGGCGUAAAGAGCGUGUAGGCGGCCCGGUAAGUCCGCUGUGAAAGUCGGGGGCUCAACCCUCGAAUGCCGGUGGAUACUGUCGGGCUAGAGUGCGGAAGAGGCGAGUGGAAUUCCUGGUGUAGCGGUGAAAUGUGCAGAGUAUCGGAAGGAACAUCAGUGGCGAAAGCGACUUCCUGGACCAGUACCGACGUUCAGGCACGAAAGCGUGGGGAGCAAACAGG
rnacentral:rRNA from 1 species